UGGACCCAGACCCCAGGAUCUAACAACUGGCGACGAGGAUGGAAGGAGGUGAGUGGGUCUUCAGCCCCUGAGGGCUCCCGGGACGGCUACGUGGCCGCAGCAUGAGCUGUGGUACCCGGUCGCAGUGGUGCUGCUUGGAUGAGCCCCAGUGGAAACAUGGGAGGCAGUGUACAGAUCCCCUAUGAGUGUGGAGAAGGCGCUGAAUCACCUGGAAAUGCACAGCAUUGAAAGGAACAUACCUUUGCCAGCAGAGUCAGAUGGGCAUUUGCGACUAUGCUGAGGGAAAUGAAUGCCCAAUCCCUGCAGGAUGCAGCGCAGGGAGGAGGAACCUCCGUUGCAGGCUUGCCCGGUAGUCCGUCAGAAAAUAGAGCAUGAACAGCUGUUGGGCCCCAAGAGGAGGCCCAGAGACCCCCCAUCGUGGUGGAACACAUUUCCUAUGGUGCCUGUGUCCCCGCUGAAUUGAGGGAGUUAAGCAACUAAUGUCGCCAGUUGUGUACAGACUUAGUGCAAGUCAUUCGGGAGAAGGACAUUGCUGCGCAACCUAGUCCUACUCGAGCAUUCCAGUUCAAAGAGUACCUGCUGCAGUUGGCGGAAGUGUAAAGCCUUUUCUGCUUGAUAAGAGAACUGGCCAAGGUGCCGGCUUGCGGGGCACUGGAAAACCAGAGCCACAUGUGGAUUUGGCAAUCCACUGGUCUCUGAACCCGGAUAAGUUUCCGGGCAGAGCCGCAUGAACAGCUAUGAAAGUUGGUCAGUGAAAGUAAAACCUGUGUCUUUGCAUCUUGGCAUCCGCUGCUUGGCUCUCCACUUAUGCACUGUGUAUGUGUCUCACAUACCUGAAGACAUUCUGGGGGUGGAUGUUUUGCACGGCUUGGCAGCUGUAUUGUCUGUCACGGACUUGCCGACCGCUUGACAACGGAACUGGGACUUCUUGUCCAGAGAGCCAGGAACAGUUUGCCUUCAUGGGAGGGCAACAAUGGACUUUUUCUUUUUUCUUUUUCUUUUUUUUUUUUUUUUUUGAGAUGGAGUCUUGCUCUGUCGCCCAGGCUGGAGUGCAGGGCACGAUCUCAGCUCCCUGCGACCUCCGCCACCUGGGUUCAAGCAAUUCUCCUGCCUCAGCCUCCUGAGUAGUAGUCCUAAUGCAAGAUGAGGCCAUGAGGCCUGAGGCACCCCUAGACCUAAGCCUUCACCAUUAGGAAGCACACCCCCCCAUUCCUAAUAGGGUAUCGUGUACAAGUGGGUCCAGCUGGGGUGCUACUGCUGCCUGGACUGCUGGUGCAGUCCAGGCUAGUACUGACAUCAUAUGGUUUGAAAGCAGGUAUGGGCAAAGUGGUUAAUAAGCUAAACUCAAGGCAGUGUGAAUGGUAAUCACCAAGGAGGUGACACCUAAGGUAAUCUGCGCCAGUAGCUGGGCAGUUUAUCAUAGCUUAUGUAUGCAAGGGGCCUGCGUACCCAGAAGCUUAUGUAUGUAUCGGGCUUGUGUGCCCAAGGCUUGUGUGUCAGGCUUAUGUGUCAAGCCUGUGUAUGUAUUGGGCCUGCAUGCCCAAAGUUUAUAUGUCAGGCCUGUAUGCCAAACCUGUGGAUCAAACCUGUGUGUCCAAGGCAUAUGUCUCGUUUGGCCUAGGGGGUGGAGUGUAAGGUACAUAUGGAUGUGCUUUGGUCAAGGAACAGGCCGAGGUGGAUAUCCAAGGCCUGCGUAACUCAGUGAGUUUGGUGCGCAGGCGCACACCUUCACUUGUUAUAUAACUUGUUUGUGUUAAGUUCAUACUUGGCUCUGAGCCACUAUUGUCUGCCCUGUUAAUGCUGUACGGGGGACCUGGGGGCUUGGCUCGGCUCAACAUGGCUUGACAUGGGGGAUGCACUGGCACCCAGAGAAAGAGAGACAGAGAGAGCCAAAGCUGUCCAUUUUACAGAUGGACAGGAGGGAGCCAGGACACAGCUUGGCUUGCUCAUGCCCAGAGAGAAAAAGAGUUAAGCUGCUGACCCUGAAGGCAAGGGAAAGCCUGCUGCACAGGUGUAUGUGGGAGCCACCAGACUAAGCAGUUGAGACAGGGUGGACAAUGUAAAAGAGCUAGUUUGAGUAAACCGUGUAAGAGAGCUGCUGCUAAAUAAAACCAUAUUCACCUGCCUACAGCCCAUCAAGUGUUCUUUCUGCUCAUCCACCCACUCCCCUCAGACUUCAGCAUGGCUGGACCCAGACACCAGGAUCUAACAAGUGUUUUUCUAGCAAUCAUAAUCUAUUAAUUGAAUCUUUCUUUGGAAAUCUCUUCCAGACCCUUCUGGCCUGCUCCAAUCUGUAUUGGUUCCUCUCUAGGCCUAUACCACUGUCUCAUUGGUAUCUCCCUUUACAACCAUCCUAGUGGUUUACUUUAUACCACUCUUUUGGUUGUACCCUUCAUUUUGUGUCAUAUUUUUCCUCCUGCUUGGUUUACUCCUUAUUUUGGAGGAGCCAUCCCUGGCAGCUUCCUAAAUUUUAAAAAUAUUUUACUUUUUUUUUUUUUUUUUUUUUAGAGACAGGCUGUUGCUAUGUUCCCUGGGCUGACCUCAAACUCCCGGGCUCAAGGGAUCCUCCUGUGUAAGGAACAUGGCUGCAAUGCAGCGAGGCAGGCAUGGGCCAAGGUAAACAUCCCACAUGACUCAGCAAGUUUGGAGUGCAGGUGCAUAACUUUGCUUGUUAUAUAAUCACAGCUACAUAGGCAUAACAUGGGAAGGCUCAUCACUUGGCUUGGAGCCACUAUUGUCUGUAAAAGGUAUAACUGCCCUGCUGAUGUUGUACAGGCAUGCUCUUGCCCAGAGAGAGAAAGUGUUAAGCUUCUGACCCUGUAGAGACAGCUGGCUUUGCAGCUGUGUGUGGGAGUGGCAGGAGUCACAGAGCCAGAACAGGUAGCUGAGACAGAGACAGACAGUGUAAGAGAGCUGCUGAAUGAAACCAUCUUUCACCUGCCUAUGGCCCCUUGAGUGUUCUUUCAGCUAUAUAAGAUGGGGGUCUCACCAUGUUGCCCAGGCUGGUCUCAAAAUCCUGGGCUCAGGUGAUCCUCCCACCUUGGCAUCCCAAAGUUAGGUAUUACAGGUGUGAGCCACCAUGCCUGAACUCCAUCUUGAAGGUAGAACUAACAAGAUUUACUGAUAGGUAGAAGGUGGUGGGGUGUGAGAAAGAGAGGAAUUGAAGAUAAUUCCAAGUGAGUCUGGUGACUUUUCCAUAUUCCAAAGAUAAAAAGAAACUCAUAACUUUUCAUGUUUUCUCAUAUGCAGCAAUAGAUACAAAAAGACAGUGGAGCAGUGUUUCCUGUUUUAGGGGAAAAGGAU
rnacentral:lncRNA from 10 species